rnacentral:tRNA from 1 species
AGUGACGUGCUUGACAAAAAAGGUUACCUUGAUGUGGUAAAACAUGGAGUUUUCCCUCCCGUUACUA